GAAGAAAUCAAGAAGGGCGGACGGUGGAUGCCUAGGCUUCCGGAGGCGAAGAAGGACGUGGACAGCUGCGAAAAGCCCCGGGGAACUGCAACGAGUUUCGAUCCGG
rnacentral:rRNA from 1 species